GGGGAAUAUUGGACAAUGGGCGCAAGCCUGAUCCAGCCAUGCCGCGUGUGUGAAGAAGGUCUUCGGAUUGUAAAGCACUUUAAUUUGGGAGGAAGGGCAGUUAACGAAUACUUAACUGUUUUGACGUUACCAAAAGAAUAAGCACCGGCUAACUUCGUGCCAGCAGCCGCGGUAAUACGAAGGGUGCAAGCGUUAAUCGGAAUUACUGGGCGUAAAGCGCGCGUAGGUGGUUCGUUAAGUUGGAAGUGAAAGCCCCGGGCUCAACCUGGGAAUUGCUUUCAAAACUGGCGAGCUAGAGUACGGUAGAGGGUGGUGGAAUUUCCUGUGUAGCGGUGAAAUGCGUAGAUAUAGGAAGGAACAUCAGUGGCGAAGGCGACCACCUGGACUGAUACUGACACUGAGGUGCGAAAGCGUGGGGAGCAAAC
rnacentral:rRNA from 1 species